CAGUAGCCGCGGUAAUACGAAGGGUGCAAGCGUUAAUCGGAAUUACUGGGCGUAAAGCGUGCGUAGGCGGUUUGUUAAGUCUGUUGUGAAAUCCCCGGGCUCAACCUGGGAAUGGCAGUGGAUACUGGCUCGCUAGAGUGUGUCAGAGGAUGGUGGAAUUCCCGGUGUAGCGGUGAAAUGCGUAGAGAUCGGGAGGAACAUCAGUGGCGAAGGCGGCCAUCUGGGACAACACUGACGCUGAGGCACGAAAGCGUGGGGAGCAAACAGGAUUAGAUACCCCCGUAGUCCCUGUCUCUUAUAC
rnacentral:rRNA from 1 species